ACGACAGCCAAAGUAUGUGCUGUAGAAGAUACCACAUCUGAUGUUUUCGUUUAUGUGACAAUAAAAGGUGAAAAGAUCUUACUGUAUCUGGUUCUGUUCUUGAAAAGACAUGACAAAGCUCCAACACAGAUGACAGUGAAACUACCACAUCUGCUUCAGCAGUGCUUAAAUUCUGAUCCUUUGAAGACACAUAGAACUGAAAAUGAGCA